ACCACAAUGUGUGUAUUUGGUGCUAUUGUCUAUCUGAGAAAUACACAAACUCUUUUAUGGUAAAGUUAUAAAACUAGAUCAUAGGAUAUAAAACUGAAUCUUCUUUAUUUGUACAGAUGAAGAUAACGCUGAUAUAGUGAAAGUUGAGAUAACAGAAGAUCUGUGUGUGAGGCGUCAGGUGAAAGCUCCAGAUUAUGAAACCAGUGACCGUAUCAGCUCAGAUCAAGAUAACGCUGAUAUAGUGAAAGUUGAGAUAACAGAAGAUCUGUGUGUGAGGCGUCAGGUGAAAGCUCCAGAUUAUGAAACCAGUGACCGUAUCAGCUCAGGUAUAUUUACAAACUGCAGUAAUCCUAAUCAUGACCAGAGUGCUGAUACUUCUUUUAAUCUUCUUCAAAAUAAGAGAAGCCACAUGGGAAACUUAUGUUCUGAAUCUGGAAAAUCUUUUACCUUGAAAUCAGCUCUUGGUAAUCGUGUGAAAAUUCAUACAGAAAAGAAAGUAUUUUCAUGUUCUCACUGUGGGAAAUGUUUUACUCUGAAAUCACAUUUUAUUACGCAUCAGAAAAUUCAUACA